GGGACCUAAAAAGUUGCAUUUUUCAUAACUGUUCCUGGUUAGGUGUAAUAAAAAUAAAAUUUAAAAUAUAUAUUAUAGAUAUUAUUGUCAAAUUAGUCUCCCAGAAUGGAGGAAUUUCCAAUUCCUAUAGAGGGAAACCCGAAAUUAGCAAACUUUAUAUAUACUGGAUAGAUCGAUCAGUUCUGAACUGUUCUUCCAAGAGAUCCAGUAAGGCUUUAUCCCUUGACGCCGCGAGGACUAUAAACCCCAUUUAAUUAUACUGCAUAAUUCCAUCAGCUCUAGACGAUUUCAAUGUCGAGGUCCAAUAUAAGUCAACCUGUAUUGAUCCAGCAUUGCUACCGGCGGAAACUGGAAUAUCCUGAGAAACCGGUGUUUCGAGAAUAAACGCUUCUCACAUGAGAAUGAAAAUAAAUAUAAUCGCGACAACUGCAUUGCAGGGUCAAAUCCCGUUCACAGAGAUGAAAGAGAUAUGCACUAAUCUAAUGGAAU